UCAGCAGCCGCGGUAAUACGGAGGRUGCAAGCGUUAUCCGGAAUCAUUGGGUUUAAAGGGUCCGUAGGCGGACAAWUAAGUCAGGGGUGAAAUYCYGCRGCUCAACYGURGAACUGCCCUUGAUACUGGUUGUCUUGAAUCGUUGUGAAGUGGKUAGAAUGAGUAGUGUAGCGGUGAAAUGCUUAGAKAUUACUCAGAAYACCGAUUGCGAAGGCAGMUCACUAACAACGUAUUGACGCUGAGGGACGAAAGCGUGGGGAGCGAACAGGAUUAGAUACCCUGGUAGUCCACGCCGUAAACGAUGRAUACUAGCUGUYCGGUCUUCUGACUGGGUGGCCAAGCGAAAGUGAUAAGUAUCCCACCUGGGGAGUACGYUCGCAAGAAUGAAACUCAAAGGAAUUGACGG
rnacentral:rRNA from 1 species